rnacentral:lncRNA from 1 species
ACAGUCUUUCAGGAUGUCUGAAAGGGGCAAGUCUGUUUGUGUGGGGCUGGGGAGCUGUGCUUUGGAAAAGCAAUGAGGAGGUAACAGGAAGUCUCUUCUCCUUCUAAAUCCUGUGUUCAUGGAGGAGGGUGGGUUUUCUCCUCUUGAGAGGGAGUUACAUACAAGUUUAAGGGAAAAGAGUCUGAAGUUUCCACCUAAAUGAUUCUGAAAGAAUCAGAUAUACAGGGAGUCCACGGAGCCUCCCCUGCAAGCAUCAGUACAGAAGUCGAUGAUAAUCUGGAUGCAAGCCCAGGAGUGUGGAGUCCACUGACUCAGAAGACCUGCAUCUAAGGAAUUGGCUGUUCUUAUCCUUAAGAAUGAUGACUGUGUUUCCAAUUCCAGUAGACCCUUUGAUGCGUUCUGAAUAAAUAUUCCUUUUGGAAUUGAACUUCUAGAGCCCUUAA